GAUGAACGCUAGCUACAGGCUUAACACAUGCAAGUCGAGGGGUAACGAGAGGAAAGCUUGCUUUCCUUGUCGACGACCGGCGCACGGGUGAGUAACGCGUAUCCAACCUGCCCCCAACUAAGGAAUAACCUUGCGAAAGUAAGACUAAUACCUUAUAAUUUCCUCAGAUGUCAUCUGACGAGGAAUAAAGAUUUAUCGGUUGUGGAUGGGGAUGCGUCGGAUUAGCUUGUUGGCGGGGUAACGGCCCACCAAGGCAACGAUCAGUAGGGGUUCUGAGAGGAAGGUCCCCCACAUUGGAACUGAGACCCGGACCAAACUCCUACGGGAGGCAGCAGUGAGGAAUAUUGGUCAAUGGGCGGAAGCCUGAACCAGCCAAGUAGCGUGCAGGAUGACGGCCCUAUGGGUUGUAAACUGCUUUUAUACAGGAAUAAAGUUAGCCACGUGUGGUUAUUUGUAGGUACUGUAUGAAUAAGGACCGGCUAAUUCCGUGCCAGCAGCCGCAGUAA
rnacentral:rRNA from 1 species